UACGGAGGAUGCAAGCGUUAUCCGGAUUUAUUGGGUUUAAAGGGUGCGCAGGCGGGAGAUUAAGUCGGCGGUGAAAUUUUGCAGCUCAACUGUAAAAGUGCCUUCGAAACUGGUUUCCUUAAGUGUGGAUGAAGUAGGCGGAAUUUGUGGUGUAGCGGUGAAAUGCAUAGAUAUCACGAGGAACUCCGAUUGCGCAGGCAGCUUACUAAACCAUAACUGACGCUCAGGCACGAAGGCGUGGGGAUCAAACAGGAUUAGAUACCCCUGUA
rnacentral:rRNA from 1 species